rnacentral:piRNA from 1 species
UCACGAUGUUUCUGGUAGCUUUUGCCC